UUUCCGUAGGUGAACCUGCGGAAGGAUCAUUACCAAAAGAUAAUCUUUCCAUCUCGAAAGCUCUUUUCCAUUGUGCUGGCUUUGACUGUAUUGUCAUUUUAGGGCUUAAACAUGGUGUUAUGCCGGCCCUAAAAAACAUUAUACCAACCUUAUGAAAAUUGACUGAACAACUAAAUCAAUUGAUAAUUUUGUUUAAAACCAACUUUCAACAACGGAUCUCUUGGUUCUC
rnacentral:misc_RNA from 1 species